rnacentral:rRNA from 1 species
GGAAUCUUAGACAAUGGGCGCAAGCCUGAUCUAGCCAUGCCGCGUGAGUGACGAAGGCCUUAGGGUCGUAAAGCUCUUUCGCCAGAGAUGAUAAUGACAGUAUCUGGUAAAGAAACCCCGGCUAACUCCGUGC